ensembl:lncRNA
ACUCCUCAUUUAAUUGUAUGAAUUCCAACUGAAAUCAGUGGGGAGAUUAAACAGGAGUUGGGAGAUUCAAUACUCUGCUGAGUUCUGGCCACCAAUAUCAGUGCACUGCUUAACUCAUAAACUAUAUUUACAAUUUUUGCUCAUAUUCAUCCACUGACACGUUUCAGGUGCUUAUAGAUGCUUCUAAUAGUGUGCCGUAAAUCACUGUAAAGAACUGAAAUACAAUUUUUAGAGUUCAAAUGGGAAUACUCAAUAGAUGUGACUGUUUGCAGGAUCAGGACCUAUUUUCCAGAACAGGUGCUUAAAUGAAAUGAUGAAGUCAUUAUAGUUGAGGAACUUAAUACAGAGAAAUAGCUCACAUUAUUCUAGUACCUAUAGGGCUCUGGCAUAAAUGCCUAAAUUAAAAAUUUGAGAACUUAUUAGGGGGGAGGAUUAGAUUUGGCAUUUCAAUUGGAGAGGAUUUUGUGGAUGUGGGGAAAAAAAAUAACUUCUUUUUUUGUGCAUGUAGAAGAAUUUUUUACCACCUGGAAAAGUUGCAUGGUUUUGACAUCACUUCCAGUUUUUUUCUGCUUUUGAAUUUGCUCCCUUUCUAUGCCACAAGCCUCCUUAGUGCUACAAAAAUCAGUUUGCUCUCGGAACAUGCAUGUGUUCAGGAAAGUACAAAAUGUCUAUCGGAAAGGCAGUAUAGUGCACUCUUUGUGGUCAGAGUGUGGGAAACUCCAUUUAGCUCAUUUUCAUGACAGAAGCACUGAACCACAUUAACACAGAAGGAAGAUGUAGAAAACGUUUAAUGGUACUGGAACGCUUUGUUUAUUCUUAGCUAAGCCUACACGGCUUCCAAAUGAGCCCACUAUGCAGUGUGACUACAUAAGGUUAACUGCUGGGUACAUUAAGCAAAAUACUCUCUCUUAGAUGCUUGUUUAAGUCAUCAUUUCUGACCAUUUAUCAGACUUAAUGUGCUACAGCAGACUGCAGGUCACAAUGUGUCAUUUCCAAAAGAACUUUGACUUUUCCCUUUCCAGGGUCAGGAACCGGUAAUGUUUAGCUGAAAUCACUGCCCUGCACUUCAUAGCUUCCAGUGAGGCUUUGGAGAGUUGCUCUUGCUAGACCAGAGUGCUGGUUCCAAGUAUUCAGUACUAAAAUUGGAGGACACUGUUUAAGUACAUAUAGACAGCUGAGUUUCAAUCUAGCUGCAGAAUAUCCCACUUCAUUUUUGAGAUCAUGAGAGAUACAGGAUGACUGAUUUCCCAAAAUGAUAGUGGGAUAUGUUAGAUAAAAAUGCCAAAAACAAGCACCCUCACUUGACAAAGGUUAUUUGUAUGGAAUUCAAGAAAAACUGUAUAUUUGGGGGUACAAUUUUUAACAUGCCAGGUGAGUAUUUCUUCUAUUCCUUAGUUCCAGGUAAAACAAUGCGGCUACUUAUCCAAUGAGUUCUGUGGUUAAGUGAAUUUGCAACAAAAAAAAAUGUGCUUGAUGCCUUUACUCUCCUUUUUAAUCUAGAAAAUAUGUGGAAUUUUCAGAUCUAUAUGCUUUCUUCAGGUUGGUCUCACGUUGAUGGAGAUGCAACAAAGAUAAAACAGAGGAAACCUCAUCUGUCCUAAAGAUUAUUCAACCAAUGUUUUAAUAUAUUAAAAAAAGAAAGAAAGGAAGAAAGGAAGGAAGAAAGGAAGAAAGGAAGAAAGGAAGAAAGGAAGAAAGGAAGAAAGGAAGAAAGGAAGAAAGGAAGAAAGAAAGAAAGAAAGAAAGAAAGAAAGAAAGAAAGAAAGAAAGAAAGAAAGAAAGAAAGAAAGAAAGAAGGUGAAGUUAAGCUAUGGUCCCAGUGACUCAGAAGUGCAGAAACCCAUAGCCCAGCUUUGAGAAGAAGAAAGGAAAGGCCACUGCCCUCUGUGGGGCCGUCUGCCUGCUGGGCCCAGCGCUAGGCUGAAAGGAACCUGCGGGUACUUGACAAAAUUGCUUCCUGUGCUGCUGAAAAGUUGUAUGCUGAAAAGUUCACGGAAAGUGAAGGGUUUUUCUCACCCUCAGGAUUUGCUGUGGGCUACCAAAGCAAGCAAACAAGCACUUUCUCAUUUUCUUGUUUGAUAGCACUGAGAAGUAAUCUACAAGUUUGCGAUUACCCCUGUUUUUGGCCAAAAUCAAUAGCAGACCCUGAGUCCUACUCAUGUCCCUACGAUUGUCUCUGUAUUUUAUCCAUCAACAUCUGAAUGCUAAUCACUCAAAAAUCCUGAGAGCGGAGACAGACUCCAAGGGCUUCCCCUCAGAAGGCCUAGAGUCACAGUCUGCCUUGUGCUUUCUGCGAUGCCCCUUCAGCGUCAUGUCCCUUCAUUCAUAGCUGGACAGUGUGAGCCAAAGUGGAGGAGAUGUCUUUUCAGCCACACCUGGUAGAAGAAAUCUGCAACCAUGGCACUUGACACAGAUCCUCUUUGACGCUGAACUGACAAGUUACUUGCAGAGUUUGAAUGGAGCAAAGGGAAAUUUUUCCAGAGGAAGCUACAAAUUUGCAGCAACUGCCAAGGAGGUGUGCAGCCAGUGCAAAGGUGUUACAUCCAGAGGUGCUAAGUACCUGAGCUCCUUCCUGACACCAGUGGGGCAGAAUGCUCUGCAUCUCUCUGAAGCACUUUGUCUGGACCUCUCUCAGCUGACCCACGGUUCUUUGUACCUUCUUGCUCCCUGCCUUGGCACCCAAGGUCACAGUUUAUAAAUGCACAGGGUCCAACUCUGCCCCGUCCCCUUGUUGCUGCUGCUGCUGGAACUAUUCACUUUUGGAUGUCUUGCUGAGAGAAGCUUUG